GGUCUGAUGGUCUAGUGGUAAGACAUCGCUUCUCAACUUCCGAUUUUGGGCCUUCGGCACUCAAACCGCUUGGAUACUUGCGGGUUUGCGGAUGAGAAAUCAGCGGAGAUCUCCAGUUCAAUCCUGGAUCAGACCA